ACGACGCUGGCGGCGUGCUUAAUACAUGCAAGUCAACUUGACUUUAGAUAGCAAUAUCGAAAAGUAGGGUGGCGCACGGGUGCGUAACGCGUAGGUAAUCUGCCCUGAGGUCUGACAUAACCCGUCGAAAGGCGGGCUAACAUCAGAUGAUAUAUAAUCACGACAUCGUGGAAAUAUCAAAUCUUCGGAGCCUUGGGAUGAGCCUGCGUCUGAUUAGGUAGUUGGCGGAGUAAUAGCCCACCAAGCCUACGAUCAGUAGCUGGUCUGAGAGGAUGAUCAGCCACACUGGAACUGAGACACGGUCCAGACUCCUACGGGAGGCAGCAGUAAGGAAUAUUGCUCAAUGGGGGGAAACCCUGAAGCAGCAACGCCGCGUGAAGGAUGAAAUACUUUGUAUGUAAACUUCUGUAAGAUGGGAAAAAUAUUCUCCUCGGGAGAAUUGAUUGUACCAUCAGAGUAAGCCCCGGCUAACUACGUG
rnacentral:rRNA from 1 species